UGGGGAUGACGUCAAGUCAGCAUGGCCCUUACGUCCGGGGCUACGACACGUGCUACAAUGGCCGGUACAAAGGGUUGCGAAAGCCGUGAGGUAGAGGCGAAUCUCCAAAAAGACCGGCCUCAGUUCGGAUUGGAGGCUGCAACUCGCCUCCAUGAAGUCGGAAUCGCUAGUAACCGCAGAUCAGCUACGUUGCGGUGAAUACGUUCCCGGGCCUU
rnacentral:rRNA from 1 species